AUGGGUAGGCGCGAGGUGGCCCGGGAAGGGAGCGGAGAGAUUAAGGCGACGGGGAUCCUCCCACCAGAUUCAGCCUGUCUGUCCUUCCCAAAAGGCCCCGCAAGCCCCUGGCCCAGUGGCCUGUGCGCCCUCUUCCUCGCCCCCACCCUUGGCCGACCCCCAACUGCCCCCGCGCAGCAGACCCCGCGCCCCCUUCUCCGCGGGCACCCAGGCCGCCCUCGGUCCUCACCUGUCCUCCGGAAGCCGCGACACACGGGAGCGGGGCGCCCUGACUCACCGCCGGGGGUCCGCCGGGGCCAUGCCCUUCCCGGGCCGGGGGCGAGGCGGCGAGGCUUCCCAGCUCGGCGCGGCGAGCCGGCGUCCUUUUAUUCGCGUCGCCGAGAGGCUUCCCCGAGUCCACGCCUCGGCCCACCCCCACCCUGCCCUGCCCCACCCCGGGGAGACGGGGCGCGGGCCCGAGCCCAGGGACCCUGGCCGCGCGCGCUGCGCUCAGCCCUCCUCGCGCCUCUUCAUCGCGCCUCGCCCGCUGCGGCUGCGGGAGCGGCCGGGGCCCAGUGCGCAGCGGCUUUGGGACCGAGUCCCGCCGGUCCCGGAGCCAGGCCGGGGACUAGGGGCCGGGGGCGCGCCGGGGCGCCGAGCGGGGCUGCCAAUCGGCCGCCUUUCCUUCCGGGGAAGGGACAAGGCGCGCGCUUUGCACCCCUCCGCGCGGGCCGGAGUUUGCUCUGGCGGCUUCCCCCGAACCCGCGUGCGGGCGGGAGCCCCCUCCGGCAGGCCCGGCUGCAACGUGAGACCCGCAGCCACGCCCUCCCGCCUCUCCGGUGGCUCCUGGACGCCCGCCUCUCCCGACCGCAGACUCGGCCUGCCCGGAAGGUGGGAGCGCGCUCCUCCCGCCCCCACGAGCGGCCUGCGGGGGGCAGGGCGGGGGCGGGGAGCCGCGGGGAGCCUCGGUGCCUGCUGCUGGAAGCUGGGGGCCACCUGGGGAGGGGGCGCGACAGCACGGCUGGAGAGCGCCGUGCGUCCAGGAGCCAGAUGGGGACGCAGGAGAAGGGCACCCAGCUUCCAGAAGGAAUGAGGGCCCGAGAAAGUUAG
rnacentral:lncRNA from 1 species